GCUACGGCAGGACAACCAGACGCUGAAUUAGCCUUCGUCGUUUGAACACUCCUGAACCUCAGGUCUUCAGCAUGAAGGUGAUUUUCGCAACACUGCUCCUUCUGGUGGCUCUGUUUGCCAUCUUGGGAUCCUCUGAGGCCAUGUCGGAGCCUGGAGCCGAUCCUGGUGGCAAUGGCUACAGUAGAUACAGAUCCUUCAGGCCUGUUUACAGGCGCGUCGUCAGCUAUGGUUAUGGUGGACACAGAGGCUACGGGUGGUAAUUGCCAUUGUUCAGGUGAACACCUUCCAGGAUUCCUUGACGUUUUUACUCAGCUCUGAUCAUGUUUUGAUGAUAAGAUACUAAACUUUGAUGUUCGUUCACAGUGAGGAAAAUUCCUUCAGUAAUUGUUUUGGCAAUAAACUAAAAGACACCUGC